UAACGCGUGGGCAACCUGCCCUGUACAGGGGGAUACCAUCUGGAAACAGAUGCUAAUACCGCAUAAUCGCAUCAGCCCGCAUGGGCAGAUGCGGAAAGGGAGAAAUCCCGGUACAGGAUGGACCCGCGUCUGAUUAGCCAGUUGGCAGGGUAACGGCCUACCAAAGCGACGAUCAGUAGCCGGCCUGAGAGGGUGGACGGCCACAUUGGGACUGAGACACGGCCCAGACUCCUACGGGAGGCAGCAG
rnacentral:rRNA from 1 species